CACAAUAAAUAAAUUGCACUUGAUUAGCAUACACAUAUUAUAUUAUAUUCUUGAUAAGUGAUUUAACUUUAUAAAAAAAUGAAUUACCUUUUUCGAAAGGGAUGAUCAGGCUGUAUAAACAGAGUCGUCUCUUUUUGUUAGUUGAGUCACUAUUGAUGCAAAAAUAUAGAUAGAGAUACAACAUGGAGAGGAAGAGAACUAAAAUAAACGGAGAAGAAGAAUCCCCCAUAAAAUUACCAGUAAUGGUAUUCCCGUCUAUGAGUUACUUAUUGAUUAUCUUAUCAUAUACCUGCGUA
rnacentral:lncRNA from 1 species